GGGGCAAGAAAGUGAGAAUCUGUCUAAAAAAAAAAAAGAACAGUUACAGAUUCCUUUGUUCCUUUUCCAUUCCCCCACUGCUUUACCUGACUAACCUUAA
rnacentral:sRNA from 1 species